rnacentral:rRNA from 1 species
UACGAAGGGGCUAGCGUUGCUCGGAAUCACUGGGCGUAAAGCGCACGUAGGCGGACUCUUAAGUCGGUGGUGAAAUCCUGGAGCUCAACUCCAGAACUGCCUUCGAUACUGGAAGACUUGAGUCCGGGAGAGGUGAGUGGAACUGCGAGUGUAGAGGUGAAAUUCGUAGAUAUUCGCAAGAACACCGGUGGCGAAGGCGGGACUCUGGGCCGAUACUGACGCUGAGGAGCGAAAGCGUGGGGAGCAAACAGG